rnacentral:tRNA from 1 species
CUUUUAAAGGAUAAAAGC